GACGAACCGUGCGAACGUUGUUCGGAAUCACUGGGCUUAAAGGGCGCGUAGGCGGCUUGCCAAGUCAGGGGUGAAAUCCUGCAGCUUAACUGUAGAAGGGCCUUUGAUACUGGCGAGCUCGAGGGAGGUAGGGGUCGAGGGAACUUCCGGUGGAGCGGUGAAAUGCGUAGAUAUCGGAAGGAACGCCGGUGGCGAAAGCGCUCGACUGGACCUCUUCUGACGCUGAGGCGCGAAAGCCAGGGGAGCAAACGGG
rnacentral:rRNA from 1 species